UUCCCCUUAAACCCUGCGACUGAUAUCGGGAUCCACCGUGUAGAGCAGAAAACAAAAGACAUUUUCAGAGAAUCAGAGAACUCGAAACCAAUUUCUCACUCAAAGAUGGCUUGGCGCGGAUCUGCAUCAAGAUCUUUCUUCUCCGCUGCAAGAGCUAUGCGUUCAACAGCAGCACCACUUCCUCGUAUCCGUCCAACACCAGUAAUGGCUCCUCCUCGUAUCCAAGCACCUCGUUUCAAUUUUGCCAACCCAAGGACUUUGGGUGAAAUAGGGUGUACUCGGUCACUACUAACGUUGCAUAGCAUUGUUGCCGCUCCUCGUCUCACAUCUCACCUCGCAGUCAACGUGCGAGCGUGCUGUGAGCUCUCACAGGGGAACGGCAAGGGUAGGUGACGCAGAGAGAGAGAGAGUGAAAAAGCCGCGAGAUGAUGAUUACUAAAACUUGUACUUGACAGGAUUGUGGUAUCUUCUGCACCAGGAGUGCUCUGGUAUCUUGAGAUCUAUGACAGUCAGGUUAAUCUCGUGGAAGCUCUUUUCGCUUUCGAGUAAGAUAAAAACAAAUAAGAAUCUUGUCUUUUUAUGUCGACAUAGAUAAGAAACUCCAUUACCUGCUAAAUUUUUAAAGAGGCAUUUAGUUCAAUUCAAUUUAUCUGGUGUAACUAUCUUUUGAAUUUGAGUUGUGAUUUUAGAAAUCCAUGUUAUCGUGUUUAGUAAAUCCUUGUGUUCUAUCUCUUUCUUUUAAUCCAUUUUUCUGUUUCUUGAUCCUUC